AACGAACGCUGGCGGCAGGCCUAACACAUGCAAGUCGAGCGAAGCCUUCGGGCUUAGCGGCGGACGGGCGCGUAACGCGGGGGAACGUGCCCUUUUGUACGGAAUAGCCUCGGGAAAAUGGGAGUAAUACCGUAUGUGGUCGAGAGACGAAAGAUUUAUCGCCAAAGGAUCGGCCCGGGUCUGAUUAGGUAGUUGGUGGGGUAAUGGCCUACCAAGCCGACGAUCCAUAGCUGGUUUGAGAGGGGGAUCAGCCACACUGGGACUGAGACACGGCCCAGACUCCUACGGGAGGCAGCAGUGGGGAAUCUUAGACAAUGAGGGAAACCCUGAUCUAGCCAUGCCGCGUGAUCUAUGAAGGCCUUAGGGUUGUAAAGAUCUUUCAGUGGGGAAGAUAAUGACUGUACCCACAGAAGAAGCCCCGGCUAACUCCGUGCCAGCCGCCGCAGUAACAC
rnacentral:rRNA from 1 species